GAUGAACGCUGGCGGCAUGCUUAAUACAUGCAAGUCGAACGGACAGACGUGUUUCUUGUGCCGCUCGCGUGAGCGGCGCACGAGUGAGUGACACGUGGAUGAGCUCCCUAUCUGACUGCGGUAACUUCUACACAGCAGGCCUAGUAGCAGAUGAUAUAAUCAACCCCAGGAGGGGCUUGUGUAUGACUGGUUUGCUGGUGCGUCUAUAGCUUUCCGGGCCGCAUUAGAGAGUUGGUAAGGUAACGGUUUACCAAGGCACCGAGACGUAGCCGACCUGCGAGGGUGAUAGGCCAACGUGGAACUGAGACACGGUCCAGACUCCUACGGGAGGCAGCAGUAGGGAAUCUUCCGCAAUGGGCGAAAGCCUGACGGAGCAACGCCGCGUGAGUGAUGAAGGUCUUCGGAUCGUAAAACUCUGUUAUUAGGGAAGAACAAAUGUGUAAGUAACUAUGCACGUCUUGACGGUACCUAAUCAGAAAGCAACGGCUAACUACGUG
rnacentral:rRNA from 1 species